GACGAACGCUGGCGGCGUGCCUAAUACAUGCAAGUCGAGCGGGUUUCACCCUUCGGGUGAAGCUAGCGGCGGACGGGUGAGUAACACGUAGGCAACCUGCCUGUAAGAUCGGGAUAACUACCGGAAACGGUAGCUAAGACCGGAUAAUCGGUUUUCUCGCAUGAGAGAAUCGUGAAACACGGGGCAACCUGUGGCUUACGGAUGGGCCUGCGGCGCAUUAGCUAGUUGGGGGGGUAACGGCCUACCAAGGCGACGAUGCGUAGCCGACCUGAGCGGGUGAACGGCCCCACUGGGACUGAGACCCGGCCCAGACUCCUACGGGAGGCAGCAGUAGGGAAUCUUCCGCAAUGUACGCAAGUCUGACGGAGCAACGCCGCGUGAGUGAGGAAGGCCUUCGGGUCGUAAAGCUCUGUUGCCCUAGACGAAUGUCUUGGAGAGUAACUGCUCUAAGAGUGACGGUAUAGGAGAAGAAAGCCCCGGCUAACUACGUGCCAGCAGCCGCCGUAAUAC
rnacentral:rRNA from 1 species